rnacentral:rRNA from 1 species
CCUACGGGUGGCUGCAGUCGAGAAUCAUUCACAAUGGGGGAAACCCUGAUGGUGCGACGCCGCGUGGGGGAAUGAAGGUCUUCGGAUUGUAAACCCCUGUCAUGUGGGAGCAAAUUAAAAAGAUAGUACCACAAGAGGAAGAGACGGCUAACUCUGUGCCAGCAGCCGCGGUAAUACAGAGGUCUCAAGCGUUGUUCGGAAUCACUGGGAGUAAGGCGUGCGUAGGCUGUUUCGUAAGUCGUGUGUGAAAGGCGCGGGCUCAACCCGCGGACGGCACAUGAUACUGCGAGACUAGAGUAAUGGAGGGGGAACCGGAAUUCUCGGUGUAGCAGUGAAAUGCGUAGAUAUCGAGAGGAACACUCGUGGCGAAGGCGGGUUCCUGGACAUUAACUGACGCUGAGGCACGAAGGCCAGGGGAGCGAAAGGGAUUAGAUACCCGAGUAGUC